GUCCAGGGAGCCCAGGCCCUUUCACUGAGCGCCUGAGGUCGUCCCGAGCACACCGGGCACCAUGGGCGCCUCACAUUCGUCUAAGGAGGAGUGGGAGCGCGAGAGCAGGACCGACUUAUGGUGGGCGCAGAUCCAGGAGGUGUUCGCGAACAAAUGCGAGUUCAGCUGGGACCAGGUCAAGCAGCUGUACCAGAGGUUCCGGCUGCUGAGCGGAGACCAGCCCACCCUCCAGCCACACAGCUUCGACCAGGUCCUGGACUUAGAGUUCAACCCGAUCCGCUCCAGGAUCGUCCGCGCCUUCUUCGACAACCGGAACCUGGGCAAAGGGACCGGCGGGAUGGCGGAGGAGAUCACCUUCCAGGACUUCCUGACCAUCAUCGCCUACUUCCAGCCGCUGAGUCCCCGACUCAACAAGGAGAAGGCGGAGCAGUACCACAAAGAGAAGAUGCGUUUCCUCUUCAACAUGUAUGACCAGGACGGAGACGGAAUCAUCACCCUGCAGGAGUACCGCCGGGUGGUGGAGGACCUGCUGUCGUUGAACCCACAUGUGGAGACAGACACUGUGCGCGCCGUCGCCAACGCCAUCGCGCGGGGCGCCUUGAAGGAAGCAGCCAGGGCGUCGGGCCAUCCGCUGAAGGGGGAACAUCUGUACGAGGGCAUCACCCUCGAGGACUUCAUCAAGACCUGGCACAGUCUCGAACUGGAGGUCAAGAUGCAAGUCAGCUUCCUGAACCUGGAAGCCACGGCCUUAUGCAAGUGACCUGCUGGCUGCCGCGCCCCCUCUGGAGAAGCUGCCCCUUGAAUCCGGCAGACUCCUGCAGCAGCUAACGGGGUACGUGGGACGUGAUGCCUUUUAUCUCGGAGAAUAAAGAUGAUCA